rnacentral:rRNA from 1 species
GACGAACGCUGGCGGCGUGCCUAAUACAUGCAAGUAGAACGCUGAAGCUUGGUGCUUGCACCGAGCGGAUGAGUUGCGAACGGGUGAGUAACGCGUAGGUAACCUGCCUGGUAGCGGGGGAUAACUAUUGGAACCGAUAGCUAAUACCGCAUAAGAGUAGAUGUUGCAUGACAUUUGCUUAAAAGGUGCAAUUGCAUCACUACCAGAUGGACCUGCGUUGUAUUAGCUAGUUGGUGAGGUAACGGCUCACCAAGGCAACGAUACAUAGCCGACCUGAGAGGGUGAUCGGCCACACUGGGACUGAGACACGGCCCAGACUCCUACGAGAGGCAGCAGUAGGGAAUCUUCGGCAAUGGACGGAAGUCUGACCGAGCAACGCCGCGUGAGUGAAGAAGGUUUUCGGAUCGUAAAGCUCUGUUGUAAGAGAAGAACGAGUGUGAGAGUGGAAAGU